AUUGGACGCUGGCGGCAGGCCUAACACAUGCAAGUCGAGCGGAGCGGCGGACGGGCGAGUAAUGCCUAGGAAUCUGCCUGGUAGUGGGGGAUAACGUCCGGAAACGGGCGCUAAUACCGCAUACUAUCAGAUGAGCCUAGGUCGGAUUAGCUAGUUGGUGGGGUAAAGGCCUACCAAGGCGACGAUCCAUAACUGGUCUGAGAGGAUGAUCAGUCACACGGGAACUGAGACACGGUCCAGAGUCCUACGGGAGGCAGCAGUGGGGAAUAGUGGACAAUGGGCGAAAGCCUGAUCCAGCCAGGCCGCGUGUGUGAAGAAGGACUACGGACUGUAAAGCACUUUAAGUUGGGAGGCGUUACCAACAGAACAAGCACCGGCUAUAUGCGUGCUAGCAGCCGCGGUAAUAC
rnacentral:rRNA from 1 species